rnacentral:rRNA from 1 species
CGGACGGGUGAGUAACGCGUGAGAAUCUGGCUUCAGGUCUGGGACAACCACUGGAAACGGUGGCUAAUACCGGAUGUGCCCUUAAUUGGGUGAAAGGUUAACUGCCUGAAGAUGAGCUCGCGUCUGAUUAGCUAGUAGGUGUGGUAAAGGCGCACCUAGGCGACGAUCAGUAGCUGGUCUGAGAGGACGAUCAGCCACACUGGGACUGAGACACGGCCCAG